rnacentral:snoRNA from 1 species
AAGACUCUACUUUCAGGGAUCAUUUCUAUAGUUCGUUACUAGAGAAGUUUCUCUGAACGUGUAGAGCACCCUUU